AUUGAGCGCUGGCGGCAUGCCUUACACAUGCAAGUCGAACGGUAACAGGUCUUCGGAUGCUGACGAGUGGCGAACGGGUGAGUAAUACAUCGGAACGUGCCUAGUAGUGGGGGAUAACUACUCGAAAGAGUGGCUAACACCGCAUGAGAUCUACGGAUGAAAGCAGGGGAUCGAAAGACCUUGUGCUACUAGAGCGGCCGAUGGCAGAUGAGGUAGUUGGUGGGAUAAAAGCUUACCAAGCCGACGAUCUGUAGCUGGUCUGAGAGGACGAUCAGCCACACUGGGACUGAGACACGGCCCAGACUCCUACGGGAGGCAGCAGUGGGGAAUUUUGGACAAUGGGCGAAAGCCUGAUCCAGCAAUGCCGCGUGCAGGAUGAAGGCCUUCGGGUUGUAAACUGCUUUUGUACGGAACGAAAAGCCCCGGGUUAAUACCCUGGGGUCAUGACGGUACCGUAAGAAUAAGCACCGGCUAACUACGUGCCAGCAGCCGCAGUAA
rnacentral:rRNA from 1 species